rnacentral:rRNA from 1 species
UACGUAGGGGGCAAGCGUUGUCCGGAUUUAUUGGGCGUAAAGAGCGUGUAGGCGGCCAUACAGGUCAGCUGUGAAAACUCGAGGCUCAACCUCGAGACGUCGGUUGAAACCGUAUGGCUAGAGUCCGGAAGGAGGAGAGUGGAAUUCCCGGUGUAGUGGUGAAAUGCGUAGAGAUCGGGAGGAACACCUGUGGCGAAGGCGGCCGACUGGGCCGACCCUGACGCUGAGGCGCGAAGGCGGUGGGAGCGAACGGG